rnacentral:rRNA from 1 species
AGUGAACGCUGGCGGUAGGCCUAACACAUGCAAGUCGAACGGCAGCACAGUAAGAGCUUGCUCUUACGGGUGGCGAGUGGCGGACGGGUGAGGAAUACAUCGGAAUCUACUUUUUCGUGGGGGAUAACGUAGGGAAACUUACGCUAAUACCGCAUACGACCUACGGGUGAAAGCAGGGGAUCUUCGGACCUUGCGCGAUUGAAUGAGCCGAUGUCGGAUUAGCUAGUUGGCGGGAUAAAGGCCCACCAAGGCGACGAUCCGUAGCUGGUCUGAGAGGAUGAUCAGCCACACUGGAACUGAGACACGGUCCAGACUCCUACGGGAGGCAGCAGUGGGGAAUAUUGGACAAUGGGCGCAAGCCUGAUCCAGCCAUACUGCGUGGGUGAAGAAGGCCUUCGGGUUGUAAAGCCCUUUUGUUGGGAAAGAAAAGCAGCAGGUUAAUACCCCGCUGUUCUGACGGUACCCAAAGAAUAAGCACCGGCUAACUUCGUG